rnacentral:RNase_P_RNA from 1 species
CCGGUGGGCCAGGUGGCCGCCUAAGUUGACUUUUCGAGUCAACUUUGCGAGGUUUUUUAAGUUAUUAACUUUGCGAAACCCCGGGGAGUUGUUUUUUGAGAGUCGAUUUUAGGAGGAAAGUCCGAACUCCACAGGGCAGGGUGCCGGCUAACGGCCGGGAGGAGCAAUCCUCGACCAGUGCCACAGAGAGCAGACUGCCUAAGCGUCUAUCAGACGACGGCGAUGGUGAAAGGGUGCGGUAAGAGCGCACCGCCCGGAUGGCAACACCCGGGGCACGGUAAACUCCACCCGGAGCAAGGUCAAGCAGUAAGGAUGGGUUGCCCGCCCUCGGUUGUGUUCCCUCGUGGAGAAGCCAGCGUAGCUGGAUUCUCCUAAAAAGGUUCGGCACAGCCGAACCUUACGGGUAGACUGCAAGAGGCCCGCGGCAACGCGCUGGCCCUAGAUAAAUGGCCAUCCUCGACAGAAUUCGGCUUAUCGGUCUGCCGGACAC